AUUGAACGCUGGCGGCAUGCCUAACACAUGCAAGUCGAACGGCAGCGCGGGCUUCGCCCUUGCGGCGAGUGGCGGACGGGUGAGUAAUGCAUCGGAACGUGCCCAGUAGUGGGGGAUAGCGCGGCGAAAGGCGGACUAAUACCGCAUACGACCUGAGGGUGAAAGCGGGGGACCGAAAGGCCUCGCGCUAUUGGAGCGGCCGAUGUCGGAUUAGCUAGUUGGUGGGGUAAAGGCUUACCAAGGCGACGAUCCGUAGCUGGUCUGAGAGGAUGACCAGCCACACUGGAACUGAGACACGGCCCAGACUCCUACGGGAGGCAGCAGUGGGGAAUUUUGGACAAUGGGCGCAAGCCUGAUCCAGCCAUGCCGCGUGCGUGAAGAAGGUCUUCGGGUUGUAAAGCGCUUUUGUUCGGGAAGAAAUCCUCUGGGCUAAUACCUCGGGGGGAUGACGGUACCGAAAGAAUAAGCACCGGCUAACUACGUG
rnacentral:rRNA from 1 species